rnacentral:rRNA from 1 species
GGGUUGUGAGGUUAAGCGACUAAGCGUACACGGUGGAUGCCCUGGCAGUCAGAGGCGAUGAAGGACGUGCUAAUCUGCGAUAAGCGUCGGUAAGGUGAUAUGAACCGUUAUAACCGGCGAUUUCCGAAUGGGGAAACCCAGUGUGAUUCGUCACACUAUCAUUAACUGAAUCCAUAGGUUAAUGAGGCGAACCGGGGGAACUGAAACAUCUAAGUACCCCGAGGAAAAGAAAUCAACCGAGAUUCCCCCAGUAGCGGCGAGCGAACGGGGAGCAGCCCAGAGCCUGAAUCAGUGUGUGUGUUAGUGGAAGCGUCUGGAAAGGCGCGCGAUACAGGGUGACAGCCCCGUACACAAAAAUGCACAUGCUGUGAGCUCGAUGAGUAGGGCGGGACACGUGGUAUCCUGUCUGAAUAUGGGGGGACCAUCCUCCAAGGCUAAAUACUCCUGACUGACCGAUAGUGAACCAGUACCGUGAGGGAAAGGCGAAAAGAACCCCGGCGAGGGGAGUGAAAAAGAACCUGAAACCGUGUACGUACAAGCAGUGGGAGCACGCUUAGGCGUGUGACUGCGUACCUUUUGUAUAAUGGGUCAGCGACUUAUAUUCUGUAGCAAGGUUAACCGAAUAGGGGAGCCGAAGGGAAACCGAGUCUUAACUGGGCGUUAAGUUGCAGGGUAUAGACCCGAAACCCGGUGAUCUAGCCAUGGGCAGGUUGAAGGUUGGGUAACACUAACUGGAGGACCGAACCGACUAAUGUUGAAAAAUUAGCGGAUGACUUGUGGCUGGGGGUGAAAGGCCAAUCAAACCGGGAGAUAGCUGGUUCUCCCCGAAAGCUAUUUAGGUAGCGCCUCGUGAAUUCAUCUCCGGGGGUAGAGCACUGUUUCGGCAAGGGGGUCAUCCCGACUUACCAACCCGAUGCAAACUGCGAAUACCGGAGAAUGUUAUCACGGGAGACACACGGCGGGUGCUAACGUCCGUCGUGAAGAGGGAAACAACCCAGACCGCCAGCUAAGGUCCCAAAGUCAUGGUUAAGUGGGAAACGAUGUGGGAAGGCCCAGACAGCCAGGAUGUUGGCUUAGAAGCAGCCAUCAUUUAAAGAAAGCGUAAUAGCUCACUGGUCGAGUCGGCCUGCGCGGAAGAUGUAACGGGGCUAAACCAUGCACCGAAGCUGCGGCAGCGACACUAUGUGUUGUUGGGUAGGGGAGCGUUCUGUAAGCCUGUGAAGGUGUGCUGUGAGGCAUGCUGGAGGUAUCAGAAGUGCGAAUGCUGACAUAAGUAACGAUAAAGCGGGUGAAAAGCCCGCUCGCCGGAAGACCAAGGGUUCCUGUCCAACGUUAAUCGGGGCAGGGUGAGUCGACCCCUAAGGCGAGGCCGAAAGGCGUAGUCGAUGGGAAACAGGUUAAUAUUCCUGUACUUGGUGUUACUGCGAAGGGGGGACGGAGAAGGCUAUGUUGGCCGGGCGACGGUUGUCCCGGUUUAAGCGUGUAGGCUGGUUUUCCAGGCAAAUCCGGAAAAUCAAGGCUGAGGCGUGAUGACGAGGCACUACGGUGCUGAAGCAACAAAUGCCCUGCUUCCAGGAAAAGCCUCUAAGCAUCAGGUAACAUCAAAUCGUACCCCAAACCGACACAGGUGGUCAGGUAGAGAAUACCAAGGCGCUUGAGAGAACUCGGGUGAAGGAACUAGGCAAAAUGGUGCCGUAACUUCGGGAGAAGGCACGCUGAUAUGUAGGUGAAGUCCCUCGCGGAUGGAGCUGAAAUCAGUCGAAGAUACCAGCUGGCUGCAACUGUUUAUUAAAAACACAGCACUGUGCAAACACGAAAGUGGACGUAUACGGUGUGACGCCUGCCCGGUGCCGGAAGGUUAAUUGAUGGGGUUAGCGCAAGCGAAGCUCUUGAUCGAAGCCCCGGUAAACGGCGGCCGUAACUAUAACGGUCCUAAGGUAGCGAAAUUCCUUGUCGGGUAAGUUCCGACCUGCACGAAUGGCGUAAUGAUGGCCAGGCUGUCUCCACCCGAGACUCAGUGAAAUUGAACUCGCUGUGAAGAUGCAGUGUACCCGCGGCAAGACGGAAAGACCCCGUGAACCUUUACUAUAGCUUGACACUGAACAUUGAGCCUUGAUGUGUAGGAUAGGUGGGAGGCUUUGAAGUGUGGACGCCAGUCUGCAUGGAGCCGACCUUGAAAUACCACCCUUUAAUGUUUGAUGUUCUAACGUGGACCCGUAAUCCGGGUUGCGGACAGUGUCUGGUGGGUAGUUUGACUGGGGCGGUCUCCUCCUAAAGAGUAACGGAGGAGCACGAAGGUUGGCUAAUCCUGGUCGGACAUCAGGAGGUUAGUGCAAUGGCAUAAGCCAGCUUGACUGCGAGCGUGACGGCGCGAGCAGGUGCGAAAGCAGGUCAUAGUGAUCCGGUGGUUCUGAAUGGAAGGGCCAUCGCUCAACGGAUAAAAGGUACUCCGGGGAUAACAGGCUGAUACCGCCCAAGAGUUCAUAUCGACGGCGGUGUUUGGCACCUCGAUGUCGGCUCAUCACAUCCUGGGGCUGAAGUAGGUCCCAAGGGUAUGGCUGUUCGCCAUUUAAAGUGGUACGCGAGCUGGGUUUAGAACGUCGUGAGACAGUUCGGUCCCUAUCUGCCGUGGGCGCUGGAGAACUGAGGGGGGCUGCUCCUAGUACGAGAGGACCGGAGUGGACGCAUCACUGGUGUUCGGGUUGUCAUGCCAAUGGCACUGCCCGGUAGCUAAAUGCGGAAGAGAUAAGUGCUGAAAGCAUCUAAGCACGAAACUUGCCCCGAGAUGAGUUCUCCCUGACUCCUUGAGAGUCCUGAAGGAACGUUGAAGACGACGACGUUGAUAGGCCGGGUGUGUAAGCGCAGCGAUGCGUUGAGCUAACCGGUACUAAUGAACCGUGAGGCUUAACCUUACAACGCCGAAGGUGUUU